rnacentral:rRNA from 1 species
GGGGGGGGGGGGGGGGGGGGGGGGGGGGGGGGGGGGGGGGGGGGGCGGGGGGGGGGGUGGGGCACGGGGGGGUGGCGGGUGGGAGCGUGCCGGUGGGGUGGGAAUGACUCGGGGGAAGGGGUGCUAAUACCGGAUAAUGUCUUGGGACCAGAGGGUGAUCGCCUUUGGAUGGGCCCGCGUUGGAUUAGCUAGUUGGUAGGGUAAAAGCCUACCCAGGCGACGAUCCAUAGCUGGUCUGAGAGGAUGAUCAGCCACACUGGGACUGAGACACGGCCCAGACUCCUACGGGAGGCAGCAGUGGGGAAUAUUGGACAAUGGGCGAAAGCCUGAUCCAGCAAUGCCGCGUGAGUGAUGAAGGCCUUAGGGUUGUAAAGCUCUUUUACCCGGGAUGAUAAUGACGGUACCGGGAGAAUAAGCUCCGGCUAACUCCGUG